GUAAAUCUCUCUAAAGAUAUGUUGGAAUGUCUCACAAAUAAGCCAGGUUGUUACAAGGUACACAAUAAAGAGGGAUCUGCUUCUAGUUUCAACUUUUCUUAUUCAUCCUGGAUAAGGUGCUUAGGAACCACUGUAACCCACUGUAACUCCUCUAAAAAGCUGGCACAGGAAACAAGACGGCUUGGCCAGUGCAGUAGCUCACGCUUGUAAUCCCAGCAUUUUGAGAGCCCAAGGCAGGAGGAUCAUUUUAGCUCAGGAGUUUGAGACCAGCUUAGGCAACAAAGCGAGAGUCCCAUCUCUACAGAAAAAUAAAAUAAAAUAAAUAGCCAGACAUGGUGGUGCACGUCUACAGUCCCAGCUACUUGGGAGGCUGAGGCGGGAGGAUUGCUUGAGCCCAGGAGGCCGAGGCUACAGUGAGCUAUGAUUGCACCACUGCGCUCCAGCGUGGGCAACAGAGUGAGAUCUUGUCAAACAAAACAAAACCGCAAAACAAACAAAAGACCCCCCGCCCCCUAAAACCCAAAAAAGACCAUUAGGCACCUGAACUCAAAAUGUUUAAAAUGUUUUUCCUCACCUGCCCACCUCUACCCUCCACAGUGAGCCAUCAACCUAAUAACAAGAGAGAGCAACAAGGCCUGGGGUCCCUUUGCUGGAGCACAGUCCCAAGGUGCAUCCGUCUGUGACCCAGGGAAACACCUCGAAGAGAAAAGUAGCUAUCUUCAAGCGACUAAAACUGAAGUAUAAUAAGAGAACCAUGUGAUUCAAGCAAGUCCACAACAGAGCCAACAGAGUCUGCUUUCAAAGGAAUCUGCAAAUUGAAGGAUACAAAC
rnacentral:lncRNA from 1 species